GACUACCGGGGUAUCUAAUCCUGUUCGCUCCCCACGCUUUCGUGCCUCAGCGUCAAUCCAGGUCUAGCCAGCUGCCUUCGCAAUUGGUGUUCUAUGGCAUAUCUAUGCAUUUCACCGCUACAUGCCACAUUCCGCUGACCUCAUCCUAAUUCUAGCCAUGCAGUAUCAGAAGCAAUUUUACGGUUGAGCCGCAAACUUUCACUCCUGACUUACAAAGCCGCCUACGCACCCUUUAAACCCAGUAAUUCCGGAUAACGCUCGCACCCUCCGUAUUACCGCGGCUGCUGGCACGGAGUUAGCCGGUGCUUAUUCUUCAGGUACCUUCAGCUCCGGAGUGAAUCCAGAGGUUUAUUCCCUGAUAAAAGCAGUUUACAACCCAUAGGGCCUUCUUCCUGCACGCUGGAUGGCUGGAUCAGCCUUGCGGCCAUUGUCCAAUAUUCCUUACUGCAGCCCCCCGUAGG
rnacentral:rRNA from 1 species